AAUCAACGCUGGCGGCGUGCCUAACACAUGCAAGUCGAACGAGAAAGUGGAGCAAUCCAUGAGUAAAGUGGCGCACGGGUGAGUAACACGUGACUAACCUACCCUUGAGUGGGGGAUAACCUAGGGAAACCUGGGCUAAUACCGCAUAAUACCUACGGGUCAAAGGAGCAAUUCGCUUUAGGAGGGGGUCGCGGCAGAUUAGUUAGUUGGCGGGGUAAUGGCCCACCAAGACGAUGAUCGUACUCC
rnacentral:rRNA from 1 species